ACCCAAGUAGCUCAGUGGAUAGAGCACAGGUCUCCGGAACCUGGUGUCGGGAGUUCGAUUCUCCCCUUGGGUA
rnacentral:tRNA from 1 species